GGGAGAAGCUGUGAGCAUAGGAAGGUGACCCACUGGGGACUGGGAAUGCCAUGGGUAUGGAUAGGGAGGCGCCUCCUGGAGCCAUGGGGCAGGGGGAGGGUGAGGGAUGCUUUGUCUCGUAUUGGGUUGGUUUCUGAUUUGGGCUCCUUUAGGGGAAUUUGGGGUGGGUUUGGGCCGUGGGAUGCCAUCGGGGCCUUGCGGGUGGCUCACAAUGGCAAGACCCCAAAAAACACGUAUGGAAGGGAGUCAGGAGGAAACCCUCUUCCCAAGGAGAGUCUGGGAAGGGGGUAAGAAAAUUUGACGUGCUGUUUUCUCCGUAGAUCGUGGAGGGAUCCUGUUGGAUGGGGUUUGGAGCCACCUGGUCUAGCAGAAGAUGCCUCUACACAUGGUGGGGGGGUGGAAGUAGAUGAUCUUUAAGGUCUCUUCCAACCCAAACUAUUCUGGAGUUCUAGGAUUCUCUGAAAACCGUUUAACACCGGGAGAAGGCCUGGAUGGGGGGGGAACUAUGGCCGGAGAAAUAACUCCUGGGACUGCUUUAGGUUUAACUAACAGAUUCCCCCGGCUGAACCCCUGCGCUGGGCCGAAUUUAGCAGCAGAAGAGAUAACCAGGAGAUAAGGACUGAUACCCCGGGAGGACAGCGGGAGACGGGCAGGCGGCCGAGGAAAGGGAGAGAAGCCGGAGGCAGCGUUGGGAAGGGCUGCCUAUCCAGAUGUGCCGGGUUUUGGAGACGCAUCUUUCCCUCCUUUGCAAAAUCCCUGACGAUUUUCUCUCCCAAAUCAGCGAUUUGCUGAAGAUUCGAUGAAUUACUUCAGGAUAGAAGCGCUUUCCUUA